UAUAUUUUGGUGUACGAUGCACAAAAGUUUUUGAUACUUUUAGUAAUAGUUUAAUUCUAUUAAAUAUAA
rnacentral:tRNA from 11 species